rnacentral:rRNA from 1 species
UACAGGGGGUGCAAACGUUGCUCGGAAUCAUUGGGCGUAAAGCGCACGUAGGCGGUUCGUUAUGUCGGAUGUGAAAGCCCUAGGCUUAACCGAGGAAGUGCAUCCGAAACUGGCGAGCUAGAGUACGAAAGAGGAUCGCGGAAUUCCCGGUGUAGAGGUGAAAUUCGUAGAUAUCGGGAGGAACACCGGUGGCGAAGGCGGCGAUCUGGGUCGAUACUGACGCUGAGGUGCGAAAGCGUGGGGAGCAAACAGG